rnacentral:rRNA from 1 species
GAUGAACGCUAGCUACAGGCUUAACACAUGCAAGUCGAGGGGCAGCAUGACGAGUGCUUGCACUUGUUGAUGGCGACCGGCGCACGGGUGCGUAACGCGUAUCGAACCUUCCCCUUACUCGGGAAUAGCCCGGUGAAAACCGAAUUAAUGCCCGAUAUAUAUUUAGAUGGCAUCAGAAGAGUAUGAAAGAUUUAUCGGUAAGGGAUGGCGAUGCGUAGGAUUAGGUAGUCGGCGGGGUAACGGCCCACCGGGGCAUCGAUCGGUAGGGGUUCUGAGAGGAAGGUCCCCCACACUGGUACUGAGACACGGACCAGACUCC